UGAGGAAUAUUGGUCAAUGGGCGAGAGCCUGAACCAGCCAAGUAGCGUGCAGGAUGACGGCCCUAUGGGUUGUAAACUGCUUUUAUAUGGGAAUAAGGUGAGGGACGUGUCCCUUAUUGCAUGUACCAUAUGAAUAAGGACCGGCUAAUUCCGUGCCAGCAGCCGCGGUAAUACGGAAGGUCCAGGCGUUAUCCGGAUUUAUUGGGUUUAAAGGGAGCGUAGGCUGUUUGUUAAGCGUGUUGUGAAAUGUAAGAGCUCAACUUUUAGAUUGCAGCGCGAACUGGCAGACUUGAGUGCGCACAACGUAGGCGGAAUUCAUGGUGUAGCGGUGAAAUGCUUAGAUAUCAUGACGAACUCCGAUUGCGAAGGCAGCUUACGGGAGCGCAACUGACGCUAAAGCUCGAAGGUGCGGGUAUCGAACAGG
rnacentral:rRNA from 1 species